ACGAACGCUGGCGGCAGGCUUAACACAUGCAAGUCGAACGCCCCGCAAGGGGAGUGGCAGACGGGUGAGUAACGCGUGGGAAUCUACCCAGAUCUUCGGAACAACCCAGGGGAAACUUGGGCUAAUACCGGAUACGCCCUACGGGGGAAAGAUUUAUCGGUUCUGGAUGAGCCCGCGUUGGAUUAGCUAGUUGGUGAGGUAACGGCUCACCAAGGCUCCGAUCCAUAGCUGGUCUGAGAGGAUGAUCAGCCACACUGGGACUGAGACACGGCCCAGACUCCUACGGGAGGCAGCAGUGGGGAAUAUUGGACAAUGGGCGAAAGCCUGAUCCAGCCAUGCCGCGUGAGUGAUGAAGGCCUUAGGGUUGUAAAGCUCUUUCAGUGGGGAAGAUAAUGACGGUACCCACAGAAGAAGCCCCGGCUAACUUCGU
rnacentral:rRNA from 1 species